rnacentral:rRNA from 1 species
AGCGAGUGGAGCAUGUGGUUUAAUUCGAAGCAAACGCGAAGAACCUUACCAGGUCUUGACAUCUUCUGACAAUUCCAGAGAUGGAACGUUCCCUUCGGGGACAGAAUGACAGGUGGUGCAUGGUUGUCGUCAGCUCGUGUCGUGAGAUGUUGGGUUAAGUCCCGCAACGAGCGCAACCCUUAUUGUCAGUUGCCAUCAUUAAAGUUGGGCACUCUGGCGAGACUGCGGUGACAAACCGGA